rnacentral:tRNA from 1 species
GCGGCCGUAGUCUAGCCUGGUCUAGGACGUCGGCCUGCCACGCCGAGGACCCGGGUUCAAAUCCCGGCGGCCGCACCA